rfam:Lupinus angustifolius cultivar Tanjil chromosome LG03, whole genome shotgun sequence.
UUGUUUGCUGAUGUAGCAUCAUCAAGAUUCACAUGUAAAUGCUGGUGGAUGGUACUCUUACGUGUUAACGUUUGGGCUCUGGCUCUGAUAUCAUGUUAAAGUUUCAUAUCGAAAUUAAUUGGCAAUGAGAUGAGUAGUCCAACAAGUAUUUAAACAAUUCCCGAGACAAUAACAUAAACGAUGUAGGACUUACUUUCCAACAUUAUGCAAUGCAAGUGCUCUUCCAAUCCAUUGGCUUGCUUGAAGUGAGAAUCUUGAUGAUGCUGCAUCGGCCAUACA